rnacentral:rRNA from 1 species
GACGAACGCUGGCGGCGUGCUUAACACAUGCAAGUCGAACGGAAAGGCCCUGCUUUUGUGGGGUGCUCGAGUGGCGAACGGGUGAGUAACACGUGAGUAACCUGCCCUUGACUUUGGGAUAACUUCAGGAAACUGGGGUUAAUACCGGUUAGGAGCUCCUGCUGCAUGGUGGGGGUUGGAAAGUUGCGGCGGUUGGGGAUGGUUUCGCGGCUUAUCUGCUUGUUGGUGGGGUAGUGGAUUACCAAGGCUUUGACGGGUAGCCGGCCUGAGAGGGUGACCGGCCACAUUGCGACAGUGCUACGGGACGGAGUACUACGGGAGGCAGGAGUGGGGAAGAUUGCACGAUGGGCGGAAGCCUGAUGCAGCAACGCCGCGUGCGGGAUGACGGCCUUCGGGUUGUAAACCGCUUUCGCCUGUGACGAAGCGUGAGUGACGGUAAUGGGUAAAGAAGCACCGGCUAACUACGUG